rnacentral:lncRNA from 1 species
AAUAAUCAACAAUGAAGUACAUACAUCUUAAUAUGCCAAAAAAGAAGACAAUCCGCCCAGGAAAUUGCAGAAAUUUUAUCAACAAGAAAGAUUUAAAAAAUUACGGAAAAUAAGGGUAAAUUACAGAAGAAAAUACCAGAGAAAAUAACGAACUCAGCUGCUUUCCUUUUAAUUAGUGAAAUUCAAUUAUGGCAAACUUUGGUGAGCUAGAUGCGAAUGGAGGAUGGAAAACAGGGACUAGCUUGAACCGCGAACCUCGUCGACAACCUCGAACUCGGGACCUCUCGCACGGGAACUCGCCGGCGACUUCGCCAUGGAUUCUACCAUUUUUAGCGUGAUGAAAGGGCUAUUUUGGAGCUGAUUUUCAGAGCAGUUUUUAGCAGUUUUUUAUCUUCGUUUCGAGAAAAUUUAAACUACGUUUUUUGCUCAAUUUCAUGACUGUUCUUCAGCUUGUUUUGGGUGAGGUUUGGGGCUGUAAUGGGAUGGUUCGGAGGUGCUUUUCGGGUCAUUUUUUUAGUAGCUUUUGGACAUGUUUUGUAGCAUGAUUUUCGCUGCUUUCGUUGCGUUCUUGAACUGGUUUUCUGGUAGAAACAGGGGCUGUUCGGGUAAGGUUUUUUGCGUGAUUUUCCGGUUAGUUUUCGGGCUAAGGGAUGUUGUUUAUGGAGGAGGAAGAAGGCAGCAACAACUGCUGCAUUUUUGGCCGCAAACAGCUAUGAUUUUUCUUUCAAAUGCUGUUGAAAAUCUUGGGUUUUGAGAAUGGCUGAAGCUUUUGUAAUUGGGGGUGAGGGAUUUUUGGUUUGGUUGUUGAUGAAGAAGAUGGAUGGGGGAGGGUGUUUUCUGAUUUUGUUCAGCGGCUUGUCAAUCUCUUUUAGGUCUCUUAGGCGUGUUUUUAGCUAUUUUCAACUGCUAGGUACUUAUAUGCAGAUGUCUAGGGUUUAAUUAAAGGGUAUGGGUGUUGGGCUAAGGGUUAAUUUUGGGACAACGGGGAUUUGGGCUCAAGGGCUAGUCCGAAAUUGGGCCAUUUUCUUGCCCAAAAUUGAGCUAAAAUUGUCUUGAAUUAUCUAACAAUUGGGCUUCUUAGAAGAUCUGGAUUUCAUUAACUAAGGGCCUAAGUUUUUCUUAUUUAAAAUAGUAUAAAGCAUUUAUAAAAAUGUAAAACCACUCCUAAUUAAUUAUAAAAACUAUUAAAGAUAAACCUAAAAUGAAACUAGUUUUGUUUUUGUAUUUUUCAAGAUUAAAAAUGACUACAAAACAUUAAUGAAACUAUUUUUUUGUAAUUUUUGUUUUCUUGUAAUAAAAUAAAAUAAAAGCGUAAAAGUUAGUUGAAAUAGAUAUAUUAGGCCUAAAUUAAAUAUUUACGUGUUAAAAUAUAAAAAAUCUUGGGAAGGGUCAAAAAUCACAUGUCUACAACUGCCCCUCUUUGACUGAAAAUACGAAGUAUUUUUAGACAAAGAACGACUAGAUAAGUUUUUUGACCUGACCCUUAUUUAAAGAGACUAAAAGCUAAAAGAAGAGAGAAUGUGACCGAGCCCUAGUAUCUGAGUUGCCUACAUAUCCUUGGCUGUAAAGGAAUCAGGCCACGUGUAGUUCAGAAGUGAGUGAGAUGAUGGAGUAUACCGAGCUGAAGAGCCGGUCGAGGUGCCGUUCCGCCGAGGUUCCGGUCCGCGGUCCUGUUAUUACAUCAAAAAAAUAAAAAAAAUGGAAAAGACUAGCUAAGCCUAUCAACUACGAGUUACAAGAUUACUAUCUAUAAGUCUUCUGAAGCUUGAUCUUGAGUCUUGAGUGGUUCUUCAUGCAAACUUUAGAUUUGAACCUUGACGCUUGCUAGUUGCAGGUACUAGUUCAUCCUUCUUCAGCUUUUCGGAUCAAGACCAGGCAUGUAGUGCUUGUGACCUCAGCGAUAUCUUGAGCAGCCCACAUCUUUCAUCAACUUCUGCAUUUGGAUUAACUUCUUGCCUUUCUUUUUUUUCUUUAUUAUGACUAACUUCUGUUGAUCACCUCGAACUGUUGACUCGCAUUCUUGCCGCGAGCUUCUUUUGUUGCUAACUUGAAUUGUAUUCUGAAGUGAAUUCUCUUAUUCUCUAGGUAGGUGCCUAAUUGCUGAACUUGAACCGUCUUCCUUUGACCACUGUUUCCUUCCCUUUGUUCUCCGGGUGGGCUCCUGAUUUCAUACAUUUGAAUUAUCUUCCUUUCCUCUGAAACUUGUCUUGUUCUCCCUUUGUUCUCUAGGUGGGCUCCUGAUUUCCGAACUUCCUUUGAACCUUGCUGCUUCCCUUUGUUCUCCAAGGGGCUCCUGAUUGCUAUAUUUCUUUGAACAUUGCUUCUUCCCUUCGUUCUCCAGGUGGGCUCCUGAUUACCAACACUUGCACUACGUUUCCUCGAAACUUGAACUGUUUCCCUUUGUUCUUCAGGUGGGCUCCUGAUUGCUGAACUCCUUUGAACCUCGCUGCUUCCCUUCGUUCUUCAGGUGGGCUCCUGAUUUCUAUCUUCCUUUGACAUUGCUGCUUCCCUUCGUUCUUCAGGUGGGUUCCUGAUUGAUGUCUUCCUUUGAAUGUUGCUGCUUUCCUUCGUUCUCCAGGUGGGCUCCUGAUUGGUGUCUUCCUUUGAACAUUGCUGCUUCCUUUCAUUCUUCAGGUGGGCUCCUGAUUACCAACACUUGCGAUGCUUUUCCUCGAAACUUGAACUGCCUCCUUUUGUUCUUCAGGUGGGAUCCUGAUUGCUGAACUCCUUUGAACCUUGCUGCUUUUCCUUUGUUCUUUAGGUGGGCUCCUAAUUGCUGAACACUUGCAUUGCUUUUCCUUGAAACUUGAAUUGCUUCCCUUGAAACUUGAACUGCUUCCCUUUGUUCUCUAGGUGGGCUCCUGAUUUCCAACACUUGAACUGACCCCUCUGAAACUGCUGCUUGUGAACCUGAUUACAACAAAACAAACAAACAAAAAAAAAAUCUGCCCCAGUUUGAUAUUGGGAACAUCUGUGAGUGUUAAUCAAAUCAUAAUACCCAAAAGCUCUAAGAAUUUAAAAUCUAAAUCCCAUUAUCCAUGAGGGUCCUGAAAAUUAAGAAUUAAAUCUCAUCUCAAGAGUGACACCUUCAAAGCUAAAUUCUAUUUCCUAAAUGUAAAACUUACGCUAAAUCUUAUUGUCUAUGAAGGUCUUAAAAACUUAAAACUAAAUCCCAUUAUCCGGGUCCUGAGAACUUUAAAUUAAAUCCCAUUAUCCAGGAGGAUUCUGAAAAUUUUAAAUUAAGUCCCAUUAUCUAGGAGGGUCCUGAAAAUUUUAAAUUAAGUCCCAUUAUCUAGGAGGGUCCUGAAAAGCCGAGAACGAACUUACCUGAGCCGCGCUCUCUUCCUGGAGGAUCUCUAUAGACCGAACAAAAUUCCUUUCCCCUGAACCACGCUUUUCCUCAUGGAGAGUUCCUGUAGAUCAAACACAUUUUUCUUUCCCCUUCUCAAAUCGCCUUUGUGCUGACAAAAAUUGUGCACGACACUUGAAAAAAUUCAAACUUCCAAGCUUUGAUUUGGACAUAAUUUUCAUCCCUAUUUCAAACAAAGAGAACUUGUGAGCUUAUAAAUAUGGUGGUUGGUUUGUGGCCUUGACUUUGAGGGCGAUUGCUCCUUAACUACCCAUGAUAACUUUGAUUUCCACUCGAAAGACCUUGCUUGUUUAUUGACUAGCUACUUUCUUUGUCACCCUUAUCACGGAAAAUACCUCUAAUCUGUUCAAACCCGAUACCAUUCAUCUGUUGCAGUGUGUUCUUGCAUUGACAUGUACUGAACCUUUGUGUUUCACAUGAAUCCCAAAGUACAUCAAUUGCCAUCCACUCAGUGCGCAUGCUGUUCUUUCCUGACUUAAAACACUGGCCUUGGCCUUGAGGUCUAUUGCUCCUUCACUUGCCAUGAUAACUUUGAUUUCUGCUUGGAAGACCUUGCUUGUCACUGGUUAACCACUUUCUUUGUCAAUCUAUCACAGAAAAUACCUUUGAUCUAUUCCAACCCAACACCCUCUAUCUAUUGCAUUGUUCAUCAAUUGACAUAUACCGAUCCUUUGUAUUUCACGUGAAUCUCAAAGCACGUUGAUUGUUACCAACUCAGUGCGCUUGCUAUUCUUUUCUGGCUUAUGAAACUUUGAUGUGCAUAGCCAGAUCCCGUUUUGUGCAAUUGAAAAGAAUCAGGUCAAACGUAGUUCCCAAAACUACUUUUAUUACUAUUUUCCUUUUCUUUUUCCUUUUUCCCUUUUCCCUUUUUUUAUUUUUUUCUUUCCCCUUUUCUCUUUUUUCUUUUUCUUUUUCUUUUUUUAUCUCUGUUUUUUUUGAAUCUUCAUUUUGGAAUGAACUUCUAAAAUAAACCUAUGGGGACAUGAACUUUUUUUUUCUUUUUUCGUAUGACUCUAACUUGAUUCUAAAAGAGGGAAGGUCAAAGAAAUCAGUACAGGGUCAAAAAGGGUAUCGAAUGUAUAAGUGUUUCUGUAGCUGAAAGAGGGCCUCCCAAUCCCUAAAAAUGGCAAGUACAACACAUGCAACUUGAAAUGAAAAAGGAAUAGCGCGCACAAUGUUUCUUUUACAGCCUUGACAUUGAUAUCAGUGAUAUGAUUUCCAUUCUUUUAGUGACUUGUCAAGUACAGAACCCUCGUUAGGUGAUUCCCUCUUCACAAUGGAUAUCCUCCAUCAAUUCGGAGACAACUUUCUUGACUUUAUCUUGUAACUUGAGAUGCACUUGAACUCAAAGUUUCUUGCUUCAAAUUGUUUGGGAUGCACUCUACUUUAACGAAUUCUUGUCACCCUAUUAACUUCCCAAAUUAUCUGCCCCAGUUUCACAUGGUUUGGGCUUCAAAUGAUCUUAAAAUGUCCAAAUCUGUACUUAUUUCCCUCAAAUGUCCCUAUCAUCUUCAAAAUUGUUUCAUUGCUUCAUGAUUAAACUAACUUUAGAACCAUGCCUAAAAUUAUGCAUGCAUGUCAUGUCAUUAAAUCCAGCAUGAGAAGAAAAACUAUAAAAGGAGAAGAUAACUAAACAAAAAAUGGUUAGAAAUAACAGAAAACAGGAAAUUGCAUUAGACAGACGGUGAAAAGGGUUUGGAUAAUAAGACAAGCAAAAUAAACUGGGGUACAAUCCUGGAACAAAACCAGACAACACUAAACGAGCUACUACGACUAAACAAAACUAGGCAAAAUAAAAGGAUAGAAGGGUUUGAGUCACAAGACAAUAUUCGGAUUACAACCCUGAAAAUAACCCGGACAACAGAAAUAAAAACAAAAUAAACCACCACAACUCCUCCCCGGGCCAACCAAGAAUGGAGUGUCUUUCCAAUUACCAAACACGACAUCUUAGCCACUGAGUUUCGCAUCAACAUUACUAGGACCUUCACAAGUCUCAAUCACAUUGACUUUAGCAAAUUGCAUUUAGGUCCUUUUGCCGGCUCGUUCUUAAGACCAAACUCUGAUAGCGCUGAAAGCUUCGCAGCACGUGGACCUCCGAGGAUCUCAGAAGAAUUCUCAUAUUCCUUUUCAAAACAAAUCAUACCCACCACAUGCGUCUCAUUAUGAACAUGCGAUGGACUUUGGCUAGUGUCUACUGCAUCUGGAUUUUGCACGACAAUGUCACCUGCAUCAAUAAGCUUCUGAAUUACAUUUUUCAGGUGCCAACACUUUUUUGUACUGUGACCCGGGGCACCGGAUCAGUAUGCGCACCUUUGAGAAAAAUCAAACUUCUUUGGCAAAGGGUUUGACAUUUUUAUUUGAAUCGGCUUCAACAUGUCCAAUUGCCUCAACCUUUGGAACAAACUAGCAUAUGAUUCUCCAAUAGGAGUGAAAGCUUUUUCUUUUUUCUAUUGUCUUUUCAGUUUGUAUUCUGGCUUCGGUUGGAACCUUUUGCGAGCAGGUGGCUGAUAUGCUUGAGGGGGCGGGUAAGACAUUUGGGUAAAUGGUGCGGGCCUCGUGGGUGUGGAGCAUAUGGUGGUGCAUUGUGGAUAGGGUACUGGAAAAGUGAUGUACGACUUUGGGGGUUCUAUGGAGAGAAGUAGCAUUGGGGAGGAUCAUCUAGUACACAAGGAUAUCCAUGGGGUCGAUGUCGAGGCUGAAAGCGUUGAGCAAGAAUGCCCAGCGGAUCAUCUUUUCUAUUUCUCUUUCUUCCACCCAAACUUACUGGGAUAUUCUGAAUGUCUUCCAUAGUAUCUUUCAAUGCCGAAUAACUCAUGAUUUUGCCUGACUUGAUUCCCUCUUCUACCAUCUCCCCCAUUUUUACUACAUCAUUAAAAGGUUUACCCAAGGUCAGAAUCAAAUGACUGAAGUAGGUGGGCCCUGAGCUUGUAGGAAAAGCUAAACUAUUUCUUCUUCACCAAUGGGAGGACAGACUCGUGCAGCUUGCUCCCUCCAUCUGAGCCCAAACUCCCUAAAGCUUUCCUCCGGUUUAUUUUCCAUCUUAGAUAGGGAGGAGUGGUCUGAGGUAAUGUCUAAUUUGUAUUGAAAGUGUCGAACAAAAUCUUGAGCCACGUCGCCCAAUGUAUGCCACUUACCGACAUCUUGACGAUUAUGCCAUUCCAAAGCUGCCCCAGUCAAGCUCUUACUGAAAUACGUCAUCAACAAAUCAUCUUUCUCGCCAACACUUCUCAUUUCCCUGCAAUAACCCCUUAGAUGGGCUACCGGAUCUCCACGCCCCUCAUACAAAUUGAACUUCGGCACUUUAAACCCCGCAGGCAGAUGUACAUCAGGGAACAUAUGAAUCUGAUUUCUCAUCCCUUGCAUGCUCCUUAAGGACUGUUCUAUACCUUUCAGCUUCCUGGAUAUUUCAUCUCGCCCUUCUUUUCCUGUGACCUUUUCAUUUUCAGCAUGAGGCUCAUUCCGAGGGCUCUGCUUGUAUGAGUCAAGAACCUUGUGGGCAACUUCUGAGGGGUAAUAUUGGGCAUCACGAGCUUUGAGUGGGUAUUCAUUUUUGGGGAUAGUGGAUAUGACAGGAGGGUAAUUUUGGGGAAAGGUAAUUGGAGGACGAGUGAUGGAGCUACUAAGGUGGUUGGGAAAACUGUGAUAAGCGGGUGGAUCUGGAGAGUAUGGGGGAUCAUCUGGCACUAUGACAGGAGUUCGGGUAAGG